UUUCAAAGAGUUUUCAUAAUAUUUAGGUAAAAACGUAGGUAAAACGGGAAAAUUUACGAAAUAUACUAUAAUAAAUUUUAUUUUUUCGCUGUGAUUCAGUUAAAAAUAUUUGUAGUUUGUCUUGUUUAGGCGUGGUAAAAUGUUCAAAACGUUUUAGUCGAUUUUUAGCAAUUUAUAAAUAUUUCACUUUUUCGAAUUUUUUUCUACGUAAUUUUAAUUUUUAUUACAUUCCUAUAAGUUUUUGUGUGGAACAAGAUUUUUUGUCAAACAUUUUUUAUAAAUACAUACACAUACAAAAUACACAUCAUAUAACAAAAACCAAUACAUUGCAGGCUUCACACCAAAUCUAAAAUAUUUUUAUUCGUAAAAUAAUAUGUUUGUUUUCUACGUGAUUUAUCUACAGUUUACUAUGUUUUAACGAGAUCGAUUAUAAUAAUACUAUUUUAAACACGUUUAGUCUGUUUCAAAAUUAAUAUCGGGCCAUUAUUUCAAAUGAUCAUCAAAUAUAUAUCACAACAUCAGUACUCAAUGAUAAAACACGAUAUUUGAAUGUCAUUUUCAAUUUGAAUCAUCGAACCACGUGUUUUAAAAUUAUAUUAAGAUAAAUGUUCGCAAGCGUGAAAAUUCGCAAUAAGACCUCCUUAUUAUUUGUAUUGUUCGAUCAAAUUACAGUCUGCACAAUUAUUACUAUGUUAUCAAUAUACAAAUGCAGGAGCAUAUUCAGAAAAAAUAACUAGCUGGGGGAGGAGGCGUAAAUGCGCAAAGAAUUUAAUAUA